rnacentral:rRNA from 1 species
UACGGAAGGCAGCAGUGGGGAAUAUUGCACAAUGGGCGCAAGCCUGAUGCAGCCAUGCCGCGUGUAUGAAGAAGGCCUUCGGGUUGUAAAGUACUUUCAGCGGGGAGGAAGGCGAUGUGGUUAAUAACCGCAUCGAUUGACGUUACCCGCAGAAGAAGCACCGGCUAACUCCGUGCCAGCAGCCGCGGUAAUACGGAGGGUGCAAGCGUUAAUCGGAAUUACUGGGCGUAAAGCGCACGCAGGCGGUCUGUCAAGUCGGAUGUGAAAUCCCCGGGCUUAACCUGGGAACUGCAUUCGAACUGGCAGGCUAGAGUCUUGUAGAGGGGGUAGAAUUCCAGGUGUAGCGGUGAAAUGCGUAGAGAUCUGGAGGAAUACCGGUGGCGAAGGCGGGCCCCUGGGACAAAGACUGACGCUCAGGGUGCGAAAGCGUGGGGAGCAAACGAGGAUUAGGAUAACC